UAUUUUUUAUUUUAAAAAUUAAAAAUUAUUUUUGAUUUAAUAUUUUUCUUUUUUAUAUGCAGGAGUCAGGAAGGAUGUAACUUUUUCAUCUUCAAUUUUCUCUGCUGCUGUAUACGAAAAGGAACAAGUAGCGAAAAUGAAGUGAAAAAAAGAAUUUAUAUGCUAUGAAAGUUGUUACAAUCUGUGUUGAGGAUAUGCCAUAGAGUUGUUACAACCUGUGCUGAGAAUAAGUUAUGAAUAUUGUUUAAUUGGUUAUAAAAUGGAUGAAAAAUUUUACGAAAGUGCAAUUGGAUGUUUAUAUAAAAGAGGAUUGCAUGAUUUGAAUACCAAAGCAAUGUUGGCUAUGGAAGUCUUCUUCAGCUUGUGAAAUUGGGGCCAGAAUCUGAUGAUGUAGGCUAUACAGAGAUUAAUAUCGAGUCUAAUAUCAUUACCUUUUGAAAGGUGUUAUUACUAUUCUAUUUGUUCUUUGCAUGCAAUCGAUGUUUGUACUUUUUAAAAACUUUUUAGUUCGACUGUUCAGUAUUCAUACAUGGUAGCCCCUAUUUCUGAAGUGACACUUUUAAGAGGAUUUUUUCAUGUCCAAGUAUUAAAUCAAGCCUUUUGAUUGAGGAUGGAAG
rnacentral:lncRNA from 1 species